rnacentral:rRNA from 1 species
AGGGGAUGACGUCAAGUCAUCAUGCCCCUUAUGGGUAGGGCUUCACGCAUGCUACAAUGGCCGGUACAAAGGGCUGCGAUACCGCAAGGUGGAGCGAAUCCCAAAAAGCCGGUCUCAGUUCGGAUCGGGGUCUGCAACUCGACCCCGUGAAGUCGGAGUCGCUAGUAAUCGCAGAUCAGCAACGCUGCGGUGAAUACGUUCCCGGGUCUUGUMNAMRMCGCSU